rnacentral:lncRNA from 1 species
GCCCCUGCAGCAGUAAUUGGGUCUUUUUUUCUAACCUGCUGUUGGAGUGCAGUUUUCUACUUUUCAGUAAACCUGCUACGGAGGGUAUUUCAAAUGAAGAGAUGCCCAGAAGACUCAACAUUCUGAACAAAGUUGUAAACAGUGCUUUCACUGAAUAUUUCAGACCAAAUUCUCAGUUCUGUAGCCCAAAACAACUUAAACUUCAGUAUUCAGACACAGGAUAAGUGACAACUUCAUCACAGUCUACAGAUUUCAGAGGAGGGAAAGAGCUUG